AUCGAACGCUGGAGGCAGGCCUAACACAUGCAAGUCGCACGAGUGGCGGACGGGUGAGUAAUGCCUGGGAAACUGCCUGAUGGAGGGGGAUAACUACUGGAAACGGUAGCUAAUACCGCAUACCAUCAGAUGUGCCCAGAUGGGAUUAGCUUGUUGGUGGGGUAACGGCUCACCAAGGCGACGAUCCCUAGCUGGUCUGAGAGGAUGACCAGCCACACGGGAACUGAGACACGGGCCAGACUCCUACGGGAGGCAGCAGUGGGGAAUAUUGCGCAAUGGGGGCAAGCCUGAUGCAGCCAUGCCGCGUGUAUGAAGAAGGCCUUCGGGUUGUAAAGUUCUUUCGGCGGGGAGGCGUUACCCGCAGAAGAAGCACCGGCUAACUCCGUGCCAGCAGCCGCGGUAAUAC
rnacentral:rRNA from 1 species